CCUACGGGAGGCAGCAGUGGGGGAUAUUGCACAAUGGGGGGAACCCUGCUGCAGCGACGCCGCGUGGGUGAAGAAGCGCCUCGGCGCGUAAAGCCCUGUCAGCAGGGAAGAAAAUGACGGUACCUGAAGAAGAAGCCCCGGCUAACUACGUGCCAGCAGCCGCGGCAAUACGUAGGGGGCCAGCGUCAUCCGGAUUUACGGGGUGUAAAGGGGGCGCAGACGGCGAUGCAGGCCAGGAGUGAAAGCACCGGGCCCAACCCCGGGACUGCCCUUGGAACUGCGUGGCGGGAGUGCAGGAGGGGCAGGCGGAAUGCCUGGUGUAGCGGUGAAAUGCGUAGAUAUCAGGAGGAACACCGGUGGCGAAGGCGGCCUGCUGGACUGCAACUGACGUUGAGGCCCGAAAGCGUGGGGAGCAAACAGGAUUAGAUACCCCUGUAGUC
rnacentral:rRNA from 1 species